rnacentral:rRNA from 1 species
UACGUAGGGGGGCAAGCGUUGUCCGGAUUUAUUGGGCGUAAAGAGCUCGUAGGCGGUCUGUCGCGUCGGCUGUGAAAACCCGGGGCUCAACCCCGGGCCUGCAGUCGAUACGGGCAGACUAGAGUGCGGUAGGGGGAGACUGGAAUUCCUGGUGUAGCGGUGAAAUGCGCAGAUAUCAGGAGGAACACCGGUGGCGAAGGCGGGUCUCUGGGCCGUAACUGACGCUGAGGAGCGAAAGCGUGGGGGAGCGAACAGG